GUCAUGCCGAGUUUACCUGUACUGUUAGCAAUAACGCAUCAGCCAUUCAGUUCCUUCUGGCCGGCCCACUGCCUGUUCCAAUUCCUGAGUUUUAGUAAAGAGAUUCCUUGGGGCAGAGGGAGUGGAAAGGGAAGAGGUCAAAGAGAAAGUAGGGUAGGGUGUGCUCAUCCAACCUCUGUAGCACAUAGCUCUACGAUAUGUCACUCUGAAGCAAGCAAGUCUGAAACCAGACAUGGAAUACGGUAAAGCUAAAGCCACAGCGCAAUCUGCAGCAUCCGGGAGACACGGCUAACCAACACCCUUAUUAUUCACAGCUUAUGAUUCACCAGCCCUACUUUUUAAGUCAGCAUCACACUCUAAUCAUCUUGUGAGGUGAUAGCCCCCAAAUUAUUUGAAAAUAAUAUGAACUGAAUCCAUUAAAAUGACAUUAAGUAUUUC